rnacentral:lncRNA from 1 species
CGAGGGAAAGGUUGAUGUCUGGAAACAUGCAAAGAUCUUUAUAGGAAACAUUCCUAUAAUCUCCGAUUCCCUGCAAAUUCCUCAUGGCCUGUUUUAAACUUUUCAACCUCCAUGCUAUGAUUUUAUGUUCCUCUGUUGCGAUGGGUUUCUCCGUAUCAAAUGGAAAUGUAGGUGGCUGAGUGUACCCAUAUGGUUCAUUCAUUCUCAAAGUAGGCUCCGGGG